rnacentral:sRNA from 1 species
CGCUACAUCAAAGUCCAUGUCCAAUGGUACCAAGCCAGGCAUCUUAUUUGCAAAAAUUUGCACUUUAGAUGCCUGUUAAAUCAGUGCUUUUCCGAAAAAUUUAUAAAUUAUUGAAUUUUUCCAAGAUAAAUAAAAAAUAUACGUCUGGAUGAGUUCAGAGUUGCCGUGUUUUUUUCCUACGCGUUCGUACCCACGCCUCGAUUGCAGUGAAAUAUCCCUGUCUCUGUCAUAUAAAAUAUUUGCCAAUCUUUGGCCGUCGAAAGAUCAUCCCUGAAUCACCAUUGUGAAUGGCCCUACUCAUUUGGCGUAUGUCAUCUGUCAACGAAUCAUCCUCGACAAAAGUAAUAACCGCGGCCUACACAAAUCAAAAUAUAAAAAACAGAUAUUGCCAAAAAAAAUGUAAUAUAAACCUAUAAACUGGCCGUCACAAAGCCAGAUCUUUUCAAGAAGCCUGUGGAUAUGAAAAGAGUUGGGAAAAAGCAAAAACUACGGCAGAAAAUAAAAACAAUUGAGCUUCUGAUAUUCCAUAAUGUUUGAGUUGUGUGUGUGAAAAAAAACAACAUUGUCCCAUUUGUCCCUGAAUGGAAAAAUGUAUAAAAAAUUAAAACACUAAUGCCAGCUAAAUCCGAUGACAAAGUGAUAAAUAGGCAAUAUCCACUCCAAAUAUCUGGCCUGCUCCGUGCACAAGGAUGUAAGCCUUAGGCAAGUAAAAACAAUCGUUACAAUAAGGGCAGUUAUUAUUUCCUAUCGAGCAGUGGUAGCAAAUCAAAAAGGCCCGUCCCUUUCACGCUGUCCCAAACAAGGUCAUAAAUAUAUUGGACACGUAUGACAAACAA